rnacentral:lncRNA from 1 species
GCAUGGCAGGCUCUGACUUCAGCCUCUGCAAAAGCUGAGAGCAAGAGGCCUCCUAACUGAUCAUACUAGCUUAAUUCCUGUUCCUGCUGAAUACCGGCUGCUGGUUGCGCAAGGCUAGGUUGAGGUAUUCUCCAACUAUUUCUCCAGGGUCUCAGACCUAGCAUGUGGUCUGUUGCUCCCUCUAAAAUAGUCUGUACAGUUCAGCACAUUCCCUUCCCUAGGAAGCUACUUUAAGGCGGGAAUAGUCAGCUAAGCUGCACCUCAGAGGCCCAGGUUCUGCAGCAGUACAUGCCUACCUGCCCGCCAAAACAAGGCGUCUAUGACUGGAUACACUGUAACUGGGUCUUGGUGCCAGGCGGGAAACCCUUCCUGCCAAUCACAUCUCUAACUUUGCUCGUGUGAUCACGCGGGCCUCCCGCUCAGAAUCUUCAGAAAGCGGCACAGCCUCACUGACGGACGGUCCUCAGGAUAUGGAGCCUUUGGACGGUUACGGCUACACUUGGCUCAGCCUGGGAGUUGAGAAGGACCAGGAGGAACAGCAGGAUAUGAGGCCAACUGCUGAAGAGAGAAAAGAUGAGGAAGAGGGUGUACCUGUACCGAGCGAGGCUAAGCAAAGAGAGGCAGCGGAAGAAGAGAAAGGAGAAAAAGGAGAAGAAUUAGGAGGAGGAGAAGGCCAGGUUGGCACCGGCGCUCCUGACCCCAUAGACGACAGGAACGAAGAAAGCAGUGGCUCCAGCAGCAGUGGUGACCAAGAACAGGAGGAGCUGAUCCCCGAGGAAGAUGAGAAUGGCAGGGACCAGCAAUGGCUCCUCGAGCAUACCGGUUUCACCCAGUUGCAGCUGCAGGAAUUGGAGAACUAUCUCCAGUCCAACAGGAGCCCCAGCAGACCAGAGCGGUAAGCAGAUCGCCCAGCUUGGCUCCGGGUUUGCAGGGGGUGCGUGUUGGUCCGGGGAGGCCUUUGUCUGUCUCCCGGGUCCCAUUUUCCCCCUCUUGAAAUAAAAGCCAACGAGGCUCCUCCG